CGACGGAGAAUUUCAAUAAGCUUGCUUAGAGAAAUUCUUAGUGGCGGACGGGUGAGUAACGCGUGGGUAACCUACCCAUAAAGCCGGGACAACCCUUGGAAACGAGGGCUAAUACCGGAUAAUCUUAAGAGUUGGCAUCAGCUUUUAAGGAAAGGUGGCCUCUGAAAAUGCUACCGAUUAUGGAUGGACCCGCGUCUGAUUAGCUAGUUGGUGGGGUAAAGGCCUACCAAGGCGACGAUCAGUAGCCGGCCUGAGAGGGUGAACGGCCACACUGGGACUGAGACACGGCCCAGACUCCUACGGGAGGCAGCAGUGGGGAAUCUUCCGCAAUGGACGAAAGUCUGACGGAGCAACGCCGCGUGUAUGAUGAAGGUCUUCGGAUUGUAAAGUACUGUCUUUGGGGAAGAACGACUGAUUUGAAAAGAUUGAGUCAGUAUGACGGUACCCAAGGAGGAAGCCCCGGCUAACUACGUGCCAGCAGCCGCGGUAAUACGUAGGGGGCAAGCGUUGUCCGGAAUUAUUGGGCGUAAAGGGCGCGUAGGCGGAUUUUUAAGUCCGGUGUGAAAGAUCAGGGCUCAACCCUGAGAGUGCAUCGGAAACUGGGGAUCUUGAGGACAGGAGAGGAAAGUGGAAUUCCUAGUGUAGCGGUGAAAUGCGUAGAUAUUAGGAGGAACACCAGUGGCGAAGGCGACUUUCUGGACUGUAACUGACGCUGAGGCGCGAAAGCGUGGGGGAGCAACAGGAUUAGAUACCCUGGUAG
rnacentral:rRNA from 1 species